rnacentral:rRNA from 1 species
GCCAUGCAUGUCUAAGUAUAAACGAUUUAAUCGUGAAACCGCGAAUGGCUCAUUAUAACAGCUAUAAUUUACUUGAUCUUGACACAAUCCUACUUGGAUAACUGUGGUAAUUCUAGAGCUAAUACAUGCAUUAAAGCUCUGACCUCACGGGAAGAGUGCAUUUAUUAGAACAAAACCAAGCGGCUUCGGCUGUUUCUGGUUGACUCAUAGUAACUGAGCUGAUCGCAUGGUCUUGCACCGGCGACGUGUCUUUCAAGUAUCUGCCGUAUCAACUUUCGAUGGUAGUGUAUCUGACUACCAUGGUGAUCACGCGUAACGGAGAAUAAGGGUUCGGCUCCGGAGAGUUCGCCUGAGAAAUCGCGAACACAUCUAAGGAAGGCAGCAGGCGCGAAAAUUACCCACUCUCAGCACGAGGAGGUAGUGACGAAAAAUAACGAGACCGUUCUCUUAUGAGGCCGGUCAUCGGAAUGGGUACAAUUUAAACCCUUUAACGAGUAU